AUGCUGACCUUCAACAACGAGCUCAUCGUAACGGGUUGCAACGUGAUGGCGACACUGCAGGAGGAGAGCAGCCACAUCAUCAUGAGCGCAUGUGCCUCCUUCUGUCCAGACCCCAAUGGCGCCUUCUCGGAAGGUAUAGACCACAGUGGCCCCGGCAAGUACUGCAAUGGCCAGGGAUGCUGCCAGGCGGCCAUCGCCGUCAUCCGAGACGAGGCAGCGGGCUACGUAGCGUUCAAAUGGUUCGGCCAGAACAGAAGCUCGGAUAACGAGGCGGGGCCGCCUGCCCGCGUGUUCGUCGCCGAGGAGGGGUGGUUCGAUAACUAUCACCAUGGCGCAAUGAAAGUUCCUUUGUCCAAAGAUGCAAUGGCAGUUCCCAUUCUUCUGUACUGGCAGAUCGUUGAUGUAGACCCGCCUCCGUCAACAGAUUACACCAGAUGGUUCGCGGGAUCCGGUGAUUGCCCAACCAAAGUGACCACCAACAUAUGCAAGAGCAACAAUAGCGUGUGCGGUCGGACUAAAGGCUAUUACUGCUACUGCAAAGAGGGAUACGAAGGCAAUCCCUACAUCCCCGACGGCUGCCAAGGUUAG
rnacentral:rRNA from 1 species